GAUGAACGCUGGCGGCGUGCCUAAUACAUGCAAGUCGAGCGAACGGACGAGAAGCUUGCUUCUCUGAUGUUAGCGGCGGACGGGUGAGUAACACGUGGAUAACCUACCUAUAAGGCUGGGAUAACUUCGGGAAACCGGAGCUAAUACCGGAUAAUAUUUUGAACCGCAUGGUUCAAAAGUGAAAGACGGUCUUGCUGUCACUUAUAGAUGGAUCCGCGCUGCAUUAGCUAGUUGGUAAGGUAACGGCUUACCAAGGCAACGAUGCAUAGCCGACCUGAGAGGGUGAUCGGCCACACUGGAACUGAGACACGGUCCAGACUCCUACGGGAGGCAGCAGUAGGGAAUCUUCCGCAAUGGGCGAAAGCCUGACGGAGCAACGCCGCGUGAGUGAUGAAGGUCUUCGGAUCGUAAAACUCUGUUAUUAGGGAAGAACAUAUGUGUAAGUAACUGUGCACAUCUUGACGGUACCUAAUAAGAAAGCCACGGCUAACUACGUG
rnacentral:rRNA from 1 species